AUUGAACGCUGGCGGCAGGCCUAACACAUGCAAGUCGAGCGAGCGGCGGACGGGUGAGUAAUGUAUGGGGACUGCCCGCUAGCGGGGGAUAACUACUGGGAACGGUUGCUAAUCCCGCAUACUAUCCGCUAACACAUAUGGGAUUAGCUAGUAGGUGGGGUAAAUGCUCACCUCGGCGACGAUCUCUAGCUGGUCUGAGCGGAUGAUCAGCAACACUGGGACGAGGACAAGUCCCAGACUCCGACGGAGGCAGCAGUGGGGAAUAUUGCAAAAGGGGCGCAAGCCUGAUGCACCCAGGCCGCGUGUAUGAAGAAGGCCUGAGGGUUGUAAAGUACUUUCAGCGGGGAGGCGUUACCCGCAGAAGAAGCACCGGCUAACUACGUGCCAGCAGCCGCGGUAAUUC
rnacentral:rRNA from 1 species